GAUGAACGCUGGCGGCGUGCCUAAUACAUGCAAGUCGAGCGAACAGACGAGGAGCUUGCUCCUCUGACGUUAGCGGCGGACGGGUGAGUAACACGUGGAUAACCUACCUAUAAGACUGGGAUAACUUCGGGAAACCGGAGCUAGUACCGGAUAAUAUAUUGAACCGCAUGGUUCAAUAGUGAAAGACGGUUUUGCUGUCACUUAUAGAUGGAUCCGCGCCGCAUUAGCUAGUUGGUAAGGUAACGGCUUACCAAGGCAACGAUGCGUAGCCGACCUGAGAGGGUGAUCGGCCACACUGGAACUGAGACACGGUCCAGACUCCUACGGGAGGCAGCAGUAGGGAAUCUUCCGCAAUGGGCGAAAGCUUGACGGAGCAACGCCGCGUGAGUGAUGAAGGUCUUCGGAUCGUAAAACUCUGUUAUUAGGGAAGAACAAAUGUGUAAGUAACUAUGCACGUCUUGACGGUACCUAAUCAGAAAGCCACGGCUAACUACGU
rnacentral:rRNA from 1 species